UACGGGGGGGGCAAGCGUUGUUCGGAAUUACUGGGCGUAAAGGGCUCGUAGGCGGCCAACUAAGUCAGACGUGAAAUCCCUCGGCUUAACCGGGGAACUGCAUCUGAUACUGGAUGGCUUGAGAUUGGGAGAGGGAUGCGGAAUUCCCGGUGUAGCGGUGAAAUGCGCAGAUAUCGGGAGGAACACCGGUGGCGAAGGCGGUUCUCUGGGCCUUACCUGACGCUGAGGAGCGAAAGCGUGGGGAGCGAACAGG
rnacentral:rRNA from 1 species